rnacentral:rRNA from 1 species
UGAGUAACCUGCCCUUAACUCUGGGAUAAGCCUGGGAAACUGGGUCUAAUACCGGAUAUGACUCCUCAUCGCGUGGUGGGGGGUGGAAAGCUUUUUGUGGUUUUGGAUGGACUCGCGGCCUACCAGCUUGUUGGUGAGGUAAUGGCUCACCAAGGCGACGACGGGUAGCCGGCCUGAGAGGGUGACCGGCCACACUGGGACUGAGACACGGCCCAGACCUCCUACGGGAGCAA